GACGAACCGUGCGAACGUUGUUCGGAAUCACUGGGCUUAAAGGGCGCGUAGGCGGCGGAUCAAGUCCGGGGUGAAAGCCCCAGCUCAACUGGGGAAGUGCCUUGGAUACUGAUUCGCUCGAGGGAGGUAGGGGUCGCGGGAACUUCCGGUGGAGCGGUGAAAUGCGUUGAUAUCGGAAGGAACGCCGGUGGCGAAAGCGCGCGACUGGACCUCUUCUGACGCUGAGGCGCGAAAGCCAGGGGAGCGAACGGG
rnacentral:rRNA from 1 species